rnacentral:tRNA from 1 species
GCGGGCAUGGCGAAACUGGUAGACGCAGCGGACUUAAAAUCCGCCCGGAGCAAUCCGAUGCCGGUUCGACCCCGGCUGCCCGCACCA